rnacentral:rRNA from 1 species
GUGGGGAAUAUUGGACAAUGGGCGAAAGCCUGAUCCAGCCAUGCCGCGUGUGCGAAGAAGGUCUUCGGAUUGUAAAGCACUUUAAGUUGGGAGGAAGGGCAGUAAGUUAAUACCUUGCUGUUUUGACGUUACCGACAGAAUAAGCACCGGCUAACUUCGUGCCAGCAGCCGCGGUAAUACGAAGGGUGCAAGCGUUAAUCGGAAUUACUGGGCGUAAAGCGCGCGUAGGUGGUUUUGUAAGUUGGAGGUGAAAUCCCCGGGCUCAAACUGGGAACUGCGUCUAAAACUGCAUGACUAGAGUACGGUAGAGGGUAGUGGAAUUUCCUGUGUAGCGGUGAAAUGCGUAGAUAUAGGAAGGAACACCAGUGGCGAAGGCGACUACCUGGACUGAUACUGACACUGAGGUGCGAAAGCGUGGGGAGCAAACAGGAUUAGAAACCCCGGUAGUCC